UGUGAACCAAUUGUGCUUAUUGCUCUUGUUUGUGGCGUGAAUAACAAACUUUAGGUGCUUUUGGUAGAGGAUAAUGCUUUCUUCUUGUUUUUUCUCUUCCUUAGAAAUGUUAUUUCAAUGCCUUCUUUGCAGGUUCGUAUGAUCUUCAUAGUUGGUCUUCCGGCCAAUCUCAAAGAGAGAGAACUCCAAAACCAGGUGAGAUGGUUGUUGGGCUAUGAGGCUUCUCAGCUGUACUUCAAGGGUGAACAGCCAAUGGGCUUUGCCCUCUUCUCCACUGCUCAUCUUUCACUUGCUGCCAAAGCCGACAUUUAGGACAUGGUUUUCGAUGUAGAAUCCAAGCCAUGACUGUCCAACAAGUUGAGGCACCUAUGGAUCUAAAGAAAGAGAUGGGAAGAUUGAUAUUUCAACAAAAGUUGCAAAUGGAUUAUUGCCACUACAAAAGCUUUAUCCAAGUAGAAUCUACCAAAAUCACUAGGAAAUUGAUUUGGGUUUAUCUUGGAUUUUUGGGUUUUUAUUUCCAAUUGCAUAAUCCAAUGCAAUCAUUCCAUUUAGGUUUUCUUUCUAUUUUUUCACGAUGAUUGAUUGCUUUU